rnacentral:tRNA from 1 species
GGGUAGAGCUCAGUGGUAGAGCGUGUGCUUAGCAUGCACGAGGUCCUGGGUUCAAUCUCUAGUACCUCCA